AGACUUGUAGAAAUCACAAUACGAGUGGGUGACAUACUAACAUCUUAGAAGGAUCUUUGUCACAGUUGACACUGAACCGGAGAGAACAAGUGUCUGGGCCUUGCUGCCACAGGG
rfam:Sus scrofa chromosome 8.